GUUUUCCCAAGCAUUGAAAAUACACUGCUUUUUACUCUGAGUCCCUUCCAAUUCCUUUCCUCCAUCUAUAAAGUUAUUCCCUUUUGAAGAAAAAAAAUUGAAUCCUAUGACUCGGAAUAAUGUUAUGAGUUGCAGUCUAUGGGACACUUAUGGAUCGAAGUUUUCAAGGACGUGAUGCGCAAAUAUUCAUUUUAGAUCUGCAAAUAUAUGUUUUUAUUUUUUUACAAUCAGAUAUGCAUGAAGAGCUUCUAGAAAAAAUUGAUGUUUCAUCAUAAUCAAAUCUGUAGGAACAGUUUAUGGGAAAAAAUUGAAAUCAACUCAAGCAUUCAAGGGCGUAGAGGUGGAAGAAAUCAAAGUCAUGGAUAUGGAGACUAACAAACCCCUCCUGAUCUGCGCUUCCAUCAGAAUCAGAUCUGCCAAUAUUGGUUGGUUUCAGAUCCACAAAUAUUGGGUUUUUUUUUCUCGAAUCAGAUUUGCAUGAAGAGUUUUUAGAGAAAAAAUCAUGUUUCAUCGUAAUCAAAUAAUCAAAUCUAAAGGAAGAGUUUUUGUCGAUACAGCCAAUAACAUUAAGCAAUUCGACUGAUAAUAGUGGGAGUUUGAGCAAUUGGAGUGAUGGAGACCCAUGUACAUUACCGAAAUAUUCCAAAAAAAAAGGCAAUAUCAAAUAUUUAAAGAAU